rnacentral:rRNA from 1 species
GACGAACGCUGGCGGCGUGCUUAACACAUGCAAGUCGAACGGAAAGGCCCUGCUUUUGUGGGGUGCUCGAGUGGCGAACGGGUGAGUAACACGUGAGUAACCUGCCCUUGACUUUGGGAUAACUUCAGGAAACUGGGGCUAAUACCGGAUAGGAGCUCCUGCUGCAUGGUGGGGGUUGGAAAGUUUCGGCGGUUGGGGAUGGACUCGCGGCUUAUCAGCUUGUUGGUGGGGUAGUGGCUUACCAAGGCUUUGACGGGUAGCCGGCCUGAGAGGGUGACCGGCCACAUUGGGACUGAGAUACGGCCCAGACUCCUACGGGAGGCAGCAGUGGGGAAUACUGCACAAUGGGCGGAAGCCUGAUGCAGCAACGCCGCGUGCGGGAUGACGGCCUUCGGGUUGUAAACCGCUUUCGCCUGUGACGAAGCGUGAGUGACGGUAAUGGGUAAAGAAGCACCGGCUAACUACGUGCCAGCAGCCGCGGUGAUACGUAGGGUGCGAGCGUUGUCCGGAUUUAUUGGGCGUAAAGGGCUCGUAGGUGGUUGAUCGCGUCGGAAGUGUAAUCUUGGGGCUUAACCCUGAGCGUGCUUUCGAUACGGGUUGACUUGAGGAAGGUAGGGGAGAAUGGAAUUCCUGGUGGAGCGGUGGAAUGCGCAGAUAUCAGGAGGAACACCAGUGGCGAAGGCGGUUCUCUGGGCCUUUCCUGACGCUGAGGAGCGAAAGCGUGGGGAGCGAACAGGCUUAGAUACCCUGGUAGUCCACGCUGUAAACGGUGGGUACUAGGUGUGGGGUCCAUUCCACGGGUUCCGUGCCGUAGCUAACGCUUUAAGUACCCCGCCUGGGGAGUACGGCCGCAAGGCUAAAACUCAAAGGAAUUGACGGGGCCCCGCACAAGCGGCGGAGCAUGCGGAUUAAUUCGAUGCAACGCGUAGAACCUUACCUGGGUUUGACAUGGAUCGGGAGCGCUCAGAGAUGGGUGUGCCUCUUUUGGGGUCGGUUCACAGGUGGUGCAUGGCUGUCGUCAGCUCGUGUCGUGAGAUGUUGGGUUAAGUCCCGCGACGAGCGCAACCCUUGUUCACUGUUGCCAGCACGUUAUGGUGGGGACUCAGUGGAGACCGCCGGGGUCAACUCGGAGGAAGGUGGGGAUGACGUCAAGUCAUCAUGCCCCUUAUGUCCAGGGCUUCACGCAUGCUACAAUGGCUGGUACAGAGAGUGGCGAGCCUGUGAGGGUGAGCGAAUCUCGGAAAGCCGGUCUCAGUUCGGAUUGGGGUCUGCAACUCGACCUCAUGAAGUCGGAGUCGCUAGUAAUCGCAGAUCAGCAACGCUGCGGUGAAUACGUUCCCGGG